rnacentral:rRNA from 1 species
UACGGAGGGUGCAAGCGUUAUCCGGAUUCACUGGGUUUAAAGGGUGCGUAGGCGGUUUAUUAAGUCAGUGGUGAAAGCCCGGAGCUCAACUUCGGAACUGCCAUUGAUACUGAUAGACUUGAGUACAGAUGAAGUGGGCGGAAUGUGACAAGUAGCGGUGAAAUGCUUAGAUAUGUCACAGAACACCGAUUGCGAAGGCAGCUCACUAAAGUGUAACUGACGCUGAGGCACGAAAGCGUGGGGAUCAAACAGG